rnacentral:rRNA from 1 species
AUUGAACGCUGGCGGCAGGCCUAACACAUGCAAGUCGAACGAGUGGCGGACGGGUGAUUAAUGUCUGGGAAACUGCCCGAUGGAGGGGGAUAACUACUGGAAACGGUAGCUAAUACCGCCUACCAUAUGAUGUGCCCAGAUGGGAUUGACUAGUAGGUGGGGUAAAGGCUCACCUAGGCGACGAUCCCUCGCUGGUCUGAGAGGAUGACCAGCCACACGGGAACUGAGACACGGCCCAGACUCCUACGGGAGGCAGCAGUGGGGAAUAUUGCACAAUGGGCGAAAGCCUGAUGCAGCCAUGCCGCGUGUAUGAAGAAGGCCUUCGGGUUGUAAAGUACUUUCAGCGAGGAGGCGUUACUCGCAGAAGAAGCAUCGGCUAACUCCGUGCCAGCAGCCGCGGUAAUUC